rnacentral:rRNA from 1 species
UGGGGGAUAUUGCACAAUGGGCGCAAGCCUGAUGCAGCGACGCCGCGUGGGGGAUGAAGGCCUUCGGGUUGUAAACUUCUUUUGCUCUGAACAAGGCGCACUUUGGGGUGUGUUGAGUGUAGGGGUUGAUUAGCGCCGGCUAACUACGUGCCAGCAGCCGCGGUAAUACGUAGGGCGCGAGCGUUUUCCGGAAUUAUUGGGCGUAAAGGGCGUGUAGGUGGCUGGUUGCGUCUGUCGUGAAAGCUCAUGGCUUAACUGUGGGUUUGCGGUGGGGACGGGCCGGCUUGAGUGCAGUAGGGGAGGCUGGAAUUCCUGGUGUAGCGGUGGAAUGCGCAGAUAUGAGGAGGAAUACCGGUGGCGAAGGCGGGUCUCUGGGAUGUUACUGACACUGAGGAGCGAAAGCAUGGGGAGCGAACAGG